rnacentral:tRNA from 1 species
GUAAAUAUAGUUUAAAAAAAACAUUAGAUUGUGGAUCUAAUAAUAGAAGCUCAUAUCUCCUUAUUUACC